rnacentral:lncRNA from 1 species
GCACCUGCCUGAAGAUGGAUACAGAGGAAUUGCCAGCUCGUGAAGUGACCAAGACAACACUCUAACACUCCUGAAGCAAGACAUCAACACAGAGAUCCGUGCCUGGGACUAAAGUAAAAACCAAAACCAAAACCAAAGCAAAACAUGGAAUUUUGCUUUACACGAUGCCUAUGAUAAGGACCCAUUGGAUUAAUCAUAAAU